ensembl:lncRNA
UUGCAACAUCUUGGUGCAGGAGUUCAUGGACUUGACUGAGGCCACUGCACAGAUUGAGAAAACCACAAUGAACAUCUGUCUCCAGAGGAUGCACCAGGCAAUGACUUUUCUGAUGUUGUUCUUCAAGAUCUGGAUAACGUGACCUUUGCAGUAGCCAUGCUGUUUGGACCUUUUUUAUUCCUUCAACAUGAGUUACCCAUCACAACUCUGCUACACUUUUGAGGUGAUUCAAUGGGUGGUAAUGGAGUUGGAUGCAACUCAGCUCUCAAGAAAAGCUCACAACUAAGACAAAACUGCUCCUGCAACGAAGCUCACUGUUAUGCAUGUGAGGUGACCAGCUCUAGGUGAGAGGACAUUUAAAUCUCACACUUGUUCUGCUGCAUUUUUGAAGCUCAAUUCCAGGAACGGAUCGCAGGGUUCAUUUUUAUAUACUCUGCAACUGCCAUGAGGACGAGCCGUUUUUUGUUGUUGUUUGUUUUUCCUUUUGCUCUGUACAAGUUCUGUUUGUCUGUUUGGCAGCAUUUUUAAAUUUCUCUUUGUAUUUUUUCUUUCUUUUACUAGUGAAGAGAUGUAGCGUGAACAGUUAUACAGUCUAAAUAUCCCAUAUGGGUCGUGUGAAAUGGUAUUUUCAGUUUCAUUCAGUUGAAGUAAAGAACGUUGAAUAUUUCUAAGUGUGCUAUUUUGAACCAAGAUGUCACAGUAUGAUCAGUGCUGUAAUUUUUGACAGUCACUGUAUCAAUGUUAUUUUUGCGUCUCUUGAAUAAAGGUUUUGACCUGCAAGUGCUAAUUUCUUU